rnacentral:lncRNA from 7 species
AACAUAAAGCCAUUGAGGAGUCCUGUAAGAGGAUAGUCCUGUCUGAAUUCUUCGUGCUUUUCUUACAUUAUAAUUAAUAGGUUAGGACUUUCUCACAUCUUGAAGCAUACAAUUGUGGAAUAAUUCAAAGAGGAAGGAGCUUCUGAACUCAGCACGGAUGCUGGCAACGUGACCCGGGUCAACUAGCGCUCUACUUGACAAUUCCCAAGAAUGGCUUGCAAGUUAGCUCUUGCCAGGGGCAGUUUGGAUGCACUCACUGCAGUUUAGCAGGUCAAAUGCACAUGCUUCUUGUUUACUAUGGUCUGUCGGAUGCAUGACAGGAACACCUAGAAGCCCCACUUGAGAUCAGCUUCUGUCAGUCCUAGAUACUGCACAGAGCCUGACUCAAAGAGUUUACAGUCUAAAUGAGUAUGACAAAAAAGGAUACAGUAAAAUGAAUUCACAUAGAAUAUGAAGAGCUGCAGUGGAACCAGAUUAAGAUGAAAUCCCAUCCUCGUGUCAGUGAAAGCUUCAUUUCCAUUUGACCUGGAUUUGUACUCCCAGAUGACUUUGCCAAAACUUCAGGGGAAGUCUGCAUCGGAGACAGGAAUUGAACUCUGAGUCCUUGUUCAGUGACACUGUCCUUCCUGACAAAGGGGUAAAAUGAUUUAAACAUGCUUCAUGCAUGUCUCUCUGAGUGAAGUUAAUGGACGUUAUACAUGUGGAAGGCCUACAGGCUUGGGUCAUUCAUCCUUUCUACAUGCUUUCCCUUCACUUCGGUUCUGACCAUGAGAUAUGAAUAAACUCAGCAGGUUCACAAAGAAGGCAUAUAUGAACCUUUUACAGCUAGAGUGUGAGCUUAGGUUUGGAAGAAAUCCAAAACCUCAAAAGGAAAUUCAGCUGAAAUGACCAAGUUUUGCCUUGUUUAGGGUCAAAACUUUGUGAAAACAACACUUCCAUGCCUUGAAUGAGAAGUCUUGGAUCACUUAUGUUUGGAUUAUGUUUGCUGUCAGAUAAUACAGUAACUGGUACAACAGAGGUGAUCAAGGGAAUUGCUGGUAGUUAGCUCAUACAAAAACCGCAAAGGAGCAAUUUUGUCCAACCUAUAGGAGAUUGAUAAGUAUGUUAAUUAGAAAUCUGAUUUCAUUUCAGUGCUACCAUCUGGUGGGCAAAAUGCAGACAGCAAAAAUCGCAUUGUUACAAUACUGGAACAUUCUGAUACAGUGAGUUUUUGUUUUACUUUGUGAAGGAAACAUAAGAUAUUAUUAAAACAACUUGAACAUCUGGUUUGGGGAUAAAGUCAUUCUGCAGCAUUGCUGCCAAGCCUCAGGGCCAAGCACAAAGAGAACAACCUUCCCUUCCAGCCUCUCCAUAAUGCUUAACACCAAACUGUAAAAUUUCACGUCCAACACAGAUGAAGAACAAAAUAUACUGAAGCAAUGGCUGUUCAUGUCUAGAAAAAUUCACCUGAUAGCUGGAAUGCCAGGGCACUAUGAAAGAGUAAAGCUGCAGAUUAUAAAAAGUUAAAGACAAAGUUAUAUCAGGUAUUCUAAGGAAAUGAAGAGGAAAGGAAGGUCACUAGGAAACCUUUGUAAUUAUUUAUUGAAAGGCUCUGUUAAGAUGCCUUACUGAAGAGCAGUGCUGUUUUCUUUGGUACAGUUAGAAUUUGCAAUGUGAAGGUGGAAACAUGGGUUAGACUUGACCUUCUCCAACUACUGUCUGAACUCUAGUGGAUCUGGAAGAAAAGUAACCAGUUAUUCCAAUGUUGUAUCGCUUACUUUGAAAUGAAUCUGGCCCCAAACCUCAAACAUUUAUGUAAACUUCUUUCCCAUUAAGAUGUAUUGUCAUAAUCACAUGUCUCGAAGUUUCAGAAAACCUUGGGGGAGAUUUUACUGAAAACAUUUAUUCAGAGUUGAAGUUCUGG